rnacentral:tRNA from 1 species
UCCUCCUUAGCUCAGUUGGUUAGAGCAUCUGACUGUUAAUCAGAGGGUCC